AAGCCUCUCUUGAGUUGCCAUAAAGAAAUACCUGAGGCCAGGCGCGGUGGCUCAUGGCUAUAAUCCCAGCACUUUGGGAGGCCGAGGUAAAUUGUUUACCUGAGGCCAGGUGCGAUGGCUUAUGGCUGUAAUCCCAGCACUUUGGGAGGCCGAGGUAUCAGCAUUUUCUACCUGGGAGAAAGAAUUACACAAAAUCGUGUUUGACCCACGCUAUCUCCUGCUCAACUCUGAGGAACGAAAGCAGAUAUUUGAACAGUUUGUCAAGACAAGAAUAAAAGAAGAAUACAAGGAAAAGUAAAUUGCUGCUAGCCAAAGAAGAAUUCAAGAAACUUCUAGAGGGAUCUAAAGUGUCUCCCAGGUGUGGAGAGAGAAAUAUACUGGAUGAUUUCUGGGGCUGGGAACUUACCAAUG